CUCUACACGCGCGAUUUUGCCGUGUCUGAAUGAACUAGCAAGUUUGGUUUGACAGCGGUUUGACAUGUCCGAUGUUGAAGUUGAAUCUAGCUCUAAAUAAUAGAUGUUAUAGUGAUUUGUAUGUGGAGUAGAAGUAAAGGUACGAAGCUACAGUAGCGACUCAGUAUAGAAUAUAAUUAAAUAAAUUAUUCUGAAUGUCUCGAUUCGUGGCCGAGGUGCCGGAGGUUCUGGUAAAACCAGGCAAGAUGAUCAGCCUCUCGUCUUCUAAGAUGAAAGCGUUACUGGUAGCAGUUGUUAUUGUGCUGUAUGUGUAUCUAUUGAUUUACUUCAAAACCAUAUACUUGAGAACAAAAAGACUGGAUGAGAUAAUGGCUGUGGCAUUGAAGACUGAAAGAGAUUUGCUGAAUGUUGAAGCACUAGACAAAAAACUAGCGAUGCAGAUGACACGUGUUGACCAGCUGUAUGAAGACUACUAGACUGUGCGGACAGUACCUUGUGCCUACCAGAUGAUAACUCACAACUAAUUUUGUUAUUUCUUCAAUCCUCCAGGUUAUUAUCUUUAAGGGUUGCAGCGGGGCGGUGCCAGUCAGCCGUCUUUGUGUCCUCUAUUCCGGCGAUGGCUGCAAUGAGCAAACUACACGAAGUGGCCACUUGUAAUUGUUAUGGAGUUCGUAAACGAGCGCCAAGUCAAUGUAUGAACGACUUCGAUACGUCAGUAGGUAGGUAAGCAGGCAGACUACUUUAACUUUAUGAAUAAUAUCACCUUUUGUUAAGACACCAAGGUCUCGCUCUGUACCUAUAUUCUCGACAUUUCAACUUAAUUUCUGCUGACUAGCAUUUGCAUUUCUUUUUGCAAAAGUAAUGAUAGAUAUACCUACUUAUCGAUAAAACUACUCGUGAGUAGUCGACCACUCGGCUGAAUUGUAAUUGACGUUAUAAACACGGUUGUAUAAUACUCGUGUCGUGGUAUACCUUGUGGGUGUGUCGACAACGAGAAAGCAUUUUGUCAUUUAUAUACAGUAAAUAUUGAAUGGUUGAUGCCUCUGAUGUGUCUAAUUACAGGCUAAUGUCAUUGGCUACAAUAGUCGCCAACGUGUCGGACAGCUUGCUAGACAAACAGUUGAACACAUUGAUCUCCAUGACAAUUUAGGGUCAAACCCGGCCUAUCCACGGAGAGUGCCGUUCUGUGCCUAGACAAGACUGCAUUUGCUUAUUUUUUGGAACUGGCAAAGGUUGGACCUGGUGACCGAUGAGGCGCUGUGGAAUACAAUGAAACAAUGUGUUCGAGAAUGAAACAAAAGUACCACACCUGGUUAAAUCCUCGUUUCGUUACUGGUGCGGUAACCGGAAAAAUAGUGUAACGUGGGCGGAAGCUCAAUCAGGAGGAAUACGAGCCGGAGUACGGGGUUAAGGACCCGCCGCCUUCACUUGUACAUGGAGCAGCUGGUCGCCGGGCGCGGCAGUGCCGGAGUCGGCUGCCAUGUUGAUGGCGUUACAUGAAGUGUGUUAGCCACGCGGAUGACAUGGUGCUGCUGAGCCCCUCGAUCAGUGCCCCAAGGACAAUUGUAGCGACGUGUGAGUACUACGUAGUGCCCGUGUGUUCAGAUAUAAAGUCAAAAAGAAUAAACUUGUUAUGUGUAAAGCGGGCGCUAUCAAAUAUUCCCCUGGUUUCUUGCCCGGUGACUUGUCUGAAUUGGGUGACUAAGUUUAAGUACUUGGAUCACUGAGGAUCUUAAAGACAAUGUGGAUAUAGAGAUAGAGAGGGCAUGCAGGUCGCUGGCUGUACGAUGUAAUAUUGUGGUUCGAAGAUUUGCACGUGGUUCAAGACCAGUAAAGUUAGUUGUUACUCUUUUAAAGUUUUUGCCAAUCUUUCAACACUUGCAAUCUUUGGACCAAUAAUUAAGCGCAGACGGCAUUCGUUCAGGAAACUGUUGAGACACGCAUGGCGACGUGGCGACGUGGCGACGUAGUCCGCUAUGUUUGCGGAGCCGCACACGGAUGAGUCUUACGCCAGCACGAGGGAAAUGAGCGGGAGGCUGCGCGCCGCCGCAAACAGUCUCCCGAGCGUAUCCAAAGACCGAUGAGAUUGCACUCUGCUGCGCCACUGGGUGAAAAUUCACACGUUCUUGUAAAUAAAUUACUAACACUAGUUUAAGUUGAUUUGUUUGUCUCAUAUCGUAGAGCUCGAGCUGCCAUGCGCGCAUGCGCCGUUAUGUAGCGAUAUGAGACGUUACUUACCGACACUACUCUCAGCUACUUAGGAUGGGGUUUAUAUGUAGGUUAGAAGCAUGAAGCAAGUACAAAGAAGUGAAAACAUUACGAGAUUGUGCACCGUGACACAAAAUAACGUGGAGUUUGUUUGUUUGAAUGCGCCAAUCUCCGUAACUACUGGUCCGAUUUGAUAAAAUAUUUUUGCGUUGGAUAGUCCAUUUAUAGAGGAAGGCUAUAAAGUUUCACGCUACGAUCAAUAGAAGCCGAGCAGAGCGGGUGAAUAUGCGCGGGAGUAACUGGUGAUAUUAAAAGUAAAAAAGUGUAAUCUAAAUAUGUUAUAAGCGUUCAGAACGUGUCACACACAACUGGCAACGCUUUUGUGGUAUGGAACCGCUAGAAGUAAAAUACAGAGGGGCGUGGUUUGUAACGUCCCGCCCUCCCCGUGAGUUGUCACGCAUUAUAAAGGGAAAUUAUAAAAAACAUCCCGUAAAAAAUACCAAGUCUCGUACCUUAAGACUAUUAGUGAGAAAGCCAAAAACAAUUUCUAUGCGCUCACGCGAAUUUCGAAGGCUACCUGGGGUCUCUCUUUUCUUACGCUCAGAACCAUCUACGGAGCAACCUACCUGGGAUGCGUGUGCUACGGGGCACCAGUGUGGGCUGAUAGGGCCACAAUAGGCGCGGUACGGCGAAAGCUUCUCCAAGGUCAGCGUCUAGCCUUGAUCUUUCUGUGUAAGGCUUAUAGGACGGUUAGCACAGAGGCCCUACCUGUGCUCGCGGGACUACUUCCAGUCGAUCUUGAGGUGCAGCGACGUGCUGCCAUGUACUAUAAUGCGAGACCUAACUUUUCCGCAAACUUUCUAGCACAACGUGAUCGAAGCAAAAUUGAUAGAUUGCUCAAGCCUUUAACGGACGUCUGGGAUGAACUUCUGACUGAGUGGCAGUGUAGAUGGGAAUCUUCUACCAAGGGCCGCCACCUCUAUCAAUUCUUUCCAUCCGUGCAUGAGCGUCUGGAGAGGACAUGGUUGGAGGUGGAUCACUGUGUUGCCCAAUUUCUUACUGGCCAUGGCAACUUUAAAAGCAAAUUGUUCUCAUUUAAACUCGUUGAUUCACCAUGGUGCCAAUGUUCGACAGCGGAGUUGCAACAUGAGCAAUCCGCCCAUCACAUACUCUGGGAGUGUGGUCUCUGGCAAUCUGAGCGUGACACUAUGUUGGAUAAUUUAAUUGUUUCAUCAGGUGUAGUUUAUUACACGGACCUUGUGGAGUCUCGAGCAAAUUUCCGUGCGUUUAGGCGUUUUUGCCAUACCUAUUAUUGGAAGCAAGUAUAACAGCUCACGCAUAGGACCCAUUUAGUAUUAGCAUUUAAUAUUUUAGUUUUAAGUAAAAUUUCCGUGGUGCUUGGCGACUGGGCUUCUCCCAGUUGUGCAGUCUCUUUUGUGCCUUAAGGCUUAAGUCAUCCUGUCUCCUGCAUUAAAUUCACCGAGGGAAGUGGAAACUAUCGUUUUCUUUUCUUCUCCUCUAAUAACAUCUGAUUUGUUUCGUUGCGGGAUCCAAGACAGUCAUUCAUUUCCCUGGGACGCGCCGGACUUCAAUGUUCCGGUGUUUUCAUGUUUGUAUCUACUGUAGAUCCUGGCUUACAGGAGUUGCAGCGGUAUGGGAGGUUGUGGCGGGCUUGUCCCAAAAAAAAAAAAAAAAAAAAAGUCUCGUACGUCAUCAGUUUUUCUACCAUAAAAAGUUGUGAGAUCCAUGUAAUACCAAGUCGGUUAUUUUAUUUAGGACCUUCUGUCUUAAGUUAUUAUGUAAAUUGUUAUCACAUUAAUUUUACGUUUUAAAUAAAAGAAAUUGACUUGGUCUCCGCACGUAGGUAAUCAUGCAAUAGACUAAACAAUACAUGUAAUACGAGAAUGAAAACACAAGUAGGUAUAGUCUUCGGCAUGUAACUUGGCAUUUUUUUUUUUAUAAUAAGAAAGUUCCGCCAGUCGCACAGGGAUUGAUCCUCACAAGCAUCGUGCGCAUGCGCGGGGACGUUGCGUUGACUAUUGAAAAAAAUGAUUAGGUACAAAAUCUUGCCAAGUUAUCUGCCAACCUUUAUAUACUUGUGAUGGCCAAUGUCAUACAUUUAAUAUGGGUUUACAAAGUUUUGAUUUAUCUAGAAAACUGGACCGAAAUGAUGUAGGUACCAAACACUAAUUGUACUCUGAAGCUUCUAUGUCUGCUAGAAGUGCCUUAAAUUUUUGGUGAUCGGUCACUCAGUAAGUGGCAAAAUUUCGAAACUUUGACAAGUUAUAAUUCUUAAACCACGGUUUGUACAAUGCCUGCUCAGUAUCUGAAAAUUCAGGCUUCUUGUUUUAUCCACAACGAAGUUAUAGGCGGCCGAAAUACGCCUUAAUGGCUUCGAGAAAAGAAUGGAAGGCUGUACCGCUUUUUUGCUCAACUUGGCGGGGGCACUGCCGUGCCCCCAGAUCAUCUCUUUGUAUUUGCUUCUCGGUAAUAAGUUGGUAUGUAUGCAUCAUCAGUAUUAACGUUGUACCUCUGUUGUACUUAAGUACCAUAUUAUUAGUUAGGCCAACUGUCCGCACGUCAUACACACGUUGUCGUCUAUUUGCGAUUGCAAAACGGUUGCUUGCAUCGUGCGUAGUGACAGUCAAAACUGCGUCCACUGAACGACAACGUAGCUUUACUCACACGACGCAUGCAUUCGUCAACUGACGCGCUUUUAAUCAGUUUUGAUUGUUUCUAGGUAAGAGGCAAGCUUAUGCCUUGUAAUCGUCAUGCAAUCGUCAAUUGAUGAAAGUGGACAUAUUAUGUUGUGCGGUUAGGCGGAUAAUGGGCCUUCGGGUGAGACCUACAGUCCGCGACGCGUCAUGCGCGCACAUGACGACAGGCGGAUAUAACGAUGCUGCUUCGUGGACAGUUUUUAUAGAUUCUAGGCAAGUAUUUGUCAUUUGAGAGCCGUCUAUUGUCAAAUGACAAUGACGCGUCGCAGUCAGUAGACACUUUCAUGAUUUAUAAUUCAGAUUCUCCUGGGUUGUGUAAGCGAAAACGUUUCUUCUACCUUUGGAAAAUCGUUGGUCACCUUUAAAGGAAACCAGGAACAAGUUGCGUUGUAUUUGUUUAAUGUAUAACUUAUUGUUUACUCGAAUGUAUUUUUAACGUUGGAAUCAAGAAAUAAAAACAAGCAUUUAAA